UCUCCCCACUCUUUGCAACUGAAGCGAUUGAUAAUGGGAGUGGUUUGAAUACAUGAAAACUCUGUCGACUGGUGACUGGCGACUUAGGGUUGGCGACUGAUGACGACGAUUGAGAAAAAGGUUUGAAAGCAGUGAGCGACGAGCUGCAAUUGGCUACGACGAGGAGUGAGAAAAAAAAUACAUACGACGACGACUGAGCCGAAAGCCGUGGGUUAAUUCCAUUGGUGCCAAGGUCUUAGAAUUAAAUGUCACGAAAGUGCAUGACAAAGAAACUGGGAUCACUCAACGCCGUCUUUCGAAUGGAAUUUCUAUUAGUUAUAAGAUUUCAAAAAAUAAAGCUCAAGGAGGUGUUAUGCUGUUAUUGUUGGCGGUGGGUGAGCAGCUGAAAGUUCUGAGUCGAGAGGAGUUGUUGGUAUGUGUGUUUGAACUAUCAGGGAGGGUGGUCGUGUGGGCAACUUUCAAGGGAACAGAUACGCUAUGACAAAGACAAAUUGGAGAUGGUUUCUUGGUGGAAGAGCAAAAGGAUAGUGAAGAAUAUUUUAAAGAUCCAGAAAGCAAAGGAAAAGCAAACUUCAAGGAGCUAGAAAGUGGGUAGGUGAAAGCAAAACUUUCUGGAUUUUGGGAAAUCAAUGAGAAACUGGAAAACCUGAUUUUUUUGUAUUGAAUUCCUUAUUUUUAUUGAGUUUGAAUUUUAAAAAUCCUUUUUAU